AGUGAACGCUGGCGGCAGGCCUAACACAUGCAAGUCGAACGGCAGCACAGGGGUAGCAAUACCCUGGGUGGCGAGUGGCGGACGGGUGAGGAAUACGUCGGAAUCUGCCUAUUUGUGGGGGAUAACGUAGGGAAACUUACGCUAAUACCGCAUACGACCUACGGGUGAAAGCGGAGGACCUUCGGCGUUCGCGCAGAUAGAUGAGCCGACGUCGGAUUAGCUAGUUGGCGGGGUAAACGGACCCGACCAAGGACGACGAUCCGUAGCUGGUCUGAGAGGAUGAUCAGCCACACU
rnacentral:rRNA from 1 species